rnacentral:lncRNA from 1 species
GCAAGCAUUACAUUUUUAUUAUUAGAAAACAAAAAAUAAUAAUAAAAAUUCAAACCAAAAACCAAAUUGCCCACAACUUGGUUUGUUACAAAACAUUACAUAUCAUACAAGUACUUCUCAAAAAGUGGUUGUUCACUUGCAUCUAAACAAACAGCCAAAGACAUACUUCUAUCGUUGUUUGGACUCGGUAGAACAUAUAUGGUUCCCUCGUACAAUAUAACCGCGGGCCCCAUAAAAAUCGGCCGACCCCACCCGAAAUCUGCGUCAUGUACGGGAAGUCUGGUCCAGGCGUUUAUGUUUAGGUUCGGGCUAGCAAAGUAACUUGGUCCACGAAUAAGAGCCGAUAGGUCAGGUUGUAACUCGAGGUAGUCUAUAGCCGAUCUCAAAUACUCAUCGUCCAUUUUGGUUAAUGUGGUGUGAAUCAGCUUUGCAGCGUUCGACAAUGAUCCUGAUGUAAGAUCACCUGAUUUUGCAACUGGGGUGGCUGUGAAGACCACGUUCCCCAGGUAGCCUCGUGGGAGGUGGGGACUCAGUCUUGACCGUCCAUCUGUGGCUACGUAUAGUUUCGUCAGUUGGUCAUCUGGGAGCCCUCGAGCCUUGCACGCGCAUCGCCAUAGGUGAGCCGCUAGGAUCUCAUAUGUGCUAUGGUUGGGGCCACCGUCGCUCUUGGCUUUAGCUUUGAGGGUGUUGAGUUGGUCUAGUGUGAGUUUAAGCAUAGUGGUGGAGGAUUUAGAAGGAGAACCCGAUUUUCGGCCAACGGUGUUCAUGGUGGGAGGUGGGUGGUAUUCGACAUGGUCAUGGGUUGGGGUGGGUGGGUUGCGUGCACGUAGUAGUGUUCGGUCAAUGAAUGGUGGGAUGGCUACGGACAACCCACGAGCCACAUCAGACCAUGUGUUUAUGAAAUGGAGAGAGGAUAAACCGUCUGAUAACGUAUGGAAUACACCACAACCAAGACCGACUCCUCCGCAUUUGAAAUGAUACCUGAGCGAAAAACAACGGGUACGAAGAAAUGUCGCCGGAGUAAUCAACGCUAGGCGUAAGCAUCUGAAACUCCGGCGACGGAGUAAACUCUCCAAAAUCAUCCAAACACGAAUCCGAUUCCGCCUCAACGAACAAAACUCCUUCACCAUUACAAUUAAUCACAAUCCUACCACUCUCAUCUCUUCCCAACCGCCCGGCCAUCGGAUAAAACGGCACGAGCACGUCCGCAAGCGCCUUUUUCAUAACAUUCGAGUCGAAAAAGUUAGACGACCCGUUCGGCCUGUAGAAGUAAACGGUUAAAAUAUGAAUUCUUCCAACAACCAGAUCCAAGUUAGAGGUCCAUAGCUGGUUUGGAGCCUCUGCUAUGGGCUCUGAUGGAGGAAUGAUUGUUGAGUUUUUUAUUGUGAUGUUCAUCUUGAUGUUGUGAUCAGUUUUCAUGGUCAUAUUGUAAUAAGGGUGUAUGGUUGUAAUGAAGGGGAAAAGGGAAAUGGGUUUUU